AGUUGUCACCAAUUGAACUGCAGGUCUUGGGUUCGAGUAACGCCAAGCGCAUCAAUAACCUACCGGUGGAUGUGGAGGCAGUUCCUCCCAUGGUGAAGGAUUAGGGACGGUGAGCUGCAGCGUUGUAAAAUCUAGGGUCCGCCGGACGGGUUGUUACAAAGUGGUUCAACUACUUUUAUGUGCAUCAAUAGAACCAAUAAAGAAUUUUUAUUUUUGGUAUUAUAUAUCUAUCUAUAUAUAUAAAAGAGGGUUUUAAUCCCUCCCACUAAGCCACCUCAGAUGACAGCAUGGAAAUUCGUUUAAUGUCGUGUUGACACGUGUCCCGUACGAACGAAACUCAGCGUUUCAUUUAAAUGUGUAUCGUCGUGGGCUUUCUUUGUUUGGUGCAUGUUGGGCUCUGGUUUUGCCAUCCGGCCCGAGAAGAUUGAAAACGCAUUCUAACGAGACCUCUCUUUGGCGGAACUUGGCGGCGUUUAGGGUUCGUCUCUUCGCUUUGUUCUGCAGCGACUUCUGAUCUUCCUCUGUAUAACUGAAACGCUUUCAGUUAUGUAUCUUUGUGUUUAAUCCCUUCUUAAUUCGAAGCCUUGAAUGUGAUCUUUUUCUUCGGCGAGUCAGUAUAUCGAAGAGUAUAAAGGGGUCAGCAUUCCUCCUCUCGAAACCAUCUUCUAAUUCUUUCUUACUACGUUUACUGAGCUAUCUGUUUAACUCAAUCACGAGAGACGCUUAUCGUCGUCUUCCCACCGAUUUUAGGGUUUUCCAUCUUCUUCAAUUUCAGACAACAACAAUGGAGUUUCAACGAUUGACUCAAAUUGUUGUGGAGAAUCUCUGAGUGGGUCUUCAAUUGUGUCUUCCUCUAAUCAAAACAUAAGGCUCAUUCUCACCUAAUCCUCAAAUUAAGUUUACUUUGACCUUAUGCUUAUCAUUGGCUUUGUGGCUUUGCGGCUGCGCCUACACACAAGGCGUGAUCGACAUCAAAUUUCACGAGUUUGACGUUGCAAAAGGUGAGUCUUUCCAUCCGAACGGUAUCUCCAUGAAUGCAUCAUACUCUUCAGAGGCGGCAUCUUCGUGCGAUUCGUCUCCAUUUAGUAUGGUAUUUACUUCUAGCGGUAAGAGGGCUUUGCGGCGUACCGGGUCGAACUUUUAAAGUUCACUGAGAAGGGAUAUGCCAGAGGAGAGAGAUGAAAGUGAUUGAAGUAGCAGUUGAUGACGAUUGGUUGUCUCCAUCGCCGAAGAUUGUCUUCGAUAAAAGAAAAAAAAAUCCAUGGAAGAUUCUACUAUUAAAGCUUUGAGGUCAGAAACUGUGGCAGAUUUGAUUUAGAAAGCCAAGGAGUCUGCUAAGAAGCUGAAGUAUCUCUCAAAACAUUCUUAAUGGCUGCUUCUGCUCAGACACCACCAAGCCUAUUAAUGACAAAGCCAAGGUUUUCAAAUACAGGACAAAGAGGACAUAAGAAAUUAUGGGUGAAUGUCAUGAUAUGUACAGAAGAUGUAGCUAAUGUGUGUCGACAUGCUAUUUCUCGGCAAGGUAAUCCUAACAGCAGUGUUUUAAUUUUUACAUUUAUGAGAAACUCAUCUUAGUUAUUUUUUUGUGAAAUCUUAAGAUUAGUGUCUUAAUCUCUAGAAGAAUCUGGAAUUUCUCUUCUAAAUGUGUUGGACAGGUUUCGUUUCCAUUCAUUUAAAGAAUUUAAAGAAUUUUAAUAACUGUGGUCUAAGAGGUGAGCUUAACUCUGAAUUUCAUUCAGAAGAUGAGGAAAUAACCAUGGAUGGGUCUCAAAAUGUUUUAGAUGGGUUCAAAUGAUGAUAAGUCAGAAGAAGAGGAGGAAACAAGAGUAAAGGUAUUUUCCUAAAGAAUUGGCCCUUUGCAUUGAGAGCUUGCAAACUUUUUUGCUUUGGAUCAAUAAUGUAAGGAAUAAAGAAAAGGUGGAACCACGAAGCAAGAGACCAAAUGGUGGAGCAAUGGACAACAACAACAUAGUUGUGUCAAAGAAUCAGAAGUUGCAAGUCAGCAGAAGCCGUGCAGGAGAGCAUAAGUGGCACAAUUGGGGCGGUAUUUAUCCUCCAAAAAGAGACUAGAGAACGACCAAGUCACAUUUUUCAUAUAAAGUUUUGAUAGUUUUUCCUUAUGGUGAAUGGUUGAAUGGAUGAGGAUGUUGUCGUUUGAGAUGUACAAUGUUUUUUUAAUGAAUUUGUUGUUUUCAAAUGAGUAGUAAUAAUAAACAUUCUGCCUUUGGUUUAAUAAACUGAUCAUCAAAUAUUCAAACUGUUUACCGUUUUAAUGUGGACAAACAAUAGUUAAUCUUGAAACUAGAUGCAGUACUAUAUAAAUAUUUUUAUAAUAUGUGUUCUCUAGAUUGAUUGUUUUAUAUAACGAUUCACUUUUAAAAAUAUAUAUUUUAAUAGAUUUAAGAAAUUGAGAUGAUUUCGUUUUCUCCUUAAAAUAUUGUUUUAUUCGAUUCAUCAUCUAAAAAAAUAUAAGAAAUACAAUUUUAUUAUAAAAACUCUUUCAAAGUUUAAUUUACUAUAAAUUAGAAAUUUUGUUUAUAAAAUCUGUUGAAUAAGUUUUUAUGUAAUUUGAAAGAUAAUUAAUAUGAAGUAAUUGAUAGAAGUAUGACUUCACGGUAUUUGAUAAAUCUUUUAAGUAAGCAUUUUUGAAAGUACAAGCCAUGCUGAUGAUAAGAAUUAAUCCAAAAAUAUAUGAAGCUAUUUUGAAAAAAAAAAAAUCAAUCCAAAUUACCACUUAUAAUGAAACAACUGGUCUCUCUGUUCCCAACGUCUUCCAAGGCACAUAAGAAGGCACACAUUGCAUAGUUGGAGGAGGAUGCAGUUUCUUAGUCACAGACUCACAGAAGCAGCUACUAGAAUGGUGCUUAACCAUAGUUUUUUUAUUUAUUUUUUGUAAAACUUCAUCUGCCGUUGACAAUUACCCUCAAACUAUAAAGAAUAUUGUAUUUGGUUUUCCUCAUAUUUUCCCAUGUAUCAAUGAACUGACCCACCUUUGAAAUUUAACGGUGCUACAAGCAAAUCUCAUUGACAAAUCUUGCAACUUUUAUGUUAUAUGUAAUAUUUGUCGACAUGGUAGGUACUAGAAUAAUGAUCAAGCCUGUUUGUUAUUUUUUACAACACCUUCUCAUUACUGUUUUUUUACAACUAAGACCGUGCGCAACGGUGAGACUCAUUGGAGUCCUUAGCGACAAUGGUAUUUCGGAUUAAUCCUGGAUAUUUUGGAUUUUUUAAAAAAAAAAAAAAAUGACC